AUUGAUAACAUCCUGAAUGCGCCUGAUCUCAUCUGAUCUAGAAGCUAAGCAGGGUUGGUCUGGUUAGUACUUGGAUGGGAGAUUUUUUAAUU
rnacentral:rRNA from 1 species